rnacentral:rRNA from 1 species
AGUGAACGCUGGCGGUAGGCCUAACACAUGCAAGUCGAACGGCAGCACAGUAAGAGCUUGCUCUUACGGGUGGCGAGUGGCGGACGGGUGCGGAAUACCUCGGAAUCUACUUUUUCGUGGGGGAUAACGUAGGGAAACUUACGCUAAUACCGCAUACGACCUACGGGUGAAAGCAGGGGAUCUUCGGACCUUGCGCGAUUGAAUGAGCCGAUGUCGGAUUAGCUAGUUGGCGGGGUAAAGGCCCACCAAGGCGACGAUCCGUAGCUGGUCUGAGAGGAUGAUCAGCCACACUGGAACUGAGACACGGUCCAGACUCCUACGGGAGGCAGCAGUGGGGAAUAUUGGACAAUGGGCGAAAGCCUGAUCCAGCCAUACCGCGUGGGUGAAGAAGGCCUUCGGGUUGUAAAGCCCUUUUGGUGGGAAAGAAAAGCAGCAGGUUAAUACCCCGCUGUUCUGACGGUACCCAAAGAAUAAGCACCGGCUAACUUCGUG